UACGGAGGAUCCAAGCGUUAUCCGGAUUUAUUGGGUUUAAAGGGUGCGUAGGCGGCCUGUUAAGUCAGGGGUGAAAGACGGUAGCUCAACUAUCGCAGUGCCCUUGAUACUGAUGGGCUUGAAUGGACUAGAGGUAGGCGGAAUGAGACAAGUAGCGGUGAAAUGCAUAGAUAUGUCACAGAACACCAAUUGCGAAGGCAGCUUACUAUGGUGUCAUUGACGCUGAGGCACGAAAGCGUGGGGAUCAAACAGG
rnacentral:rRNA from 1 species